UCCCAAUAGCUCAGUUGGUAGAGCAUGAGACUCUGAAUCUAAGGGCUGUGGGUUCGAGUCCCACACUGGGCAAAA